rnacentral:rRNA from 1 species
UACGUAGGGUGCGAGCGUUAAUCGGAAUUACUGGGCGUAAAGCGUGCGCAGGCGGUCUGUUAAGACAGAUGUGAAAUCCCCGGGCUUAACCUGGGAACUGCAUUUGUGACUGCAUGGCUAGAGUGCGGCAGAGGGGGAUGGAAUUCCGCGUGUAGCAGUGAAAUGCGUAGAUAUGCGGAGGAACACCGAUGGCGAAGGCAAUCCCCUGGGCCUGCACUGACGCUCAUGCACGAAAGCGUGGGGAGCAAACAGG